UGGCUCGUAGCUUAACGGCAAAGCAGGCGCCUUAUAAGCUCCCGACGAAGGUUCGACUCCUUCCGAGCCGACCA
rnacentral:tRNA from 1 species